AUGGUGAAGGCGAAGGCCAGAGACAAUGGAUCUGGUCGUAUUGAACACCUGGUCACCAAGGCUGCUUUUAACUCUGGUAAAGUGGAUAUUGUCACCAUCAGUGACCCCUUCAUUGACCUCAACUACAUGGUCUACAUGUUCCAGUAUGAUUCCACCCAUGGCAAAUUCCAUGGCACCGUCAAAACUGAGAACGGGAAGCUUGUCAUCAGUGGACAUCCCAUCACCAUCUUCCAGGAGCGAGAUCCCUCCAAAAUCAAAUGGGGCAAUGCUGGCACUCAGUACACUGUGGAGUCCAUUGGUGUCUUCACCACCAUGGAGAAGGUUGGAGCUCACUUGCGGGGAGGAGCCAAAAGGGUCAUCAUCUCUGCCCCCUCUGCUAAUGCCCCCAAGUUUGUGAUGGAAGUGAACCAUAAGACGUAUGACAACAGCCUCAAGAUCGUCAGCAAUGCCUCCCGCACCACCAACUGCUUAGCGCCCCUGACCAAGGUCAUCCAUGACAACUUUGGUAUCAUGGAAGGACUCAUGACCACAGUCCACGCUAUCACUGCCACCCAGAAGAUUGUAGAUGGCCCCACGGCGUAAUGGCCGUGGGGCUGUCCAGAACAUCAUCCCUGCCUCUGCUGGCAUUGCCAAGGCUGUGGGCAAGGUCAUCCCUGAGCUGAAUGGGACGUUCACCUGCAUGGGAUUCCAUGUCCCCACUGCUAAUGUGUUGGUCAUGGACCUGACCUGCCGUCUGGAGCCUGCCACAUACAAUGACAUCAAGAAGGUGGCAAAGCGGGUGUCGGAGUGCCCCCUCAAGGGCAUCCUGGGCUACACUGAGCACCAGGUUGUCUCCUCCGACUUCAACAGUAACCCCCACUCUUCCACCUUUGAUGCUGGGGCUGGUAUUGCCCUCAACGGCCACUUUGUCAAGCUCAUUUCCUGGUAUGACAAUGCAUUUGGCUACAGCAACAGGGUGGUGAACUUCAUGGCCCACAUGGCCUCCAAGGAGUUAAGACCCCCUGACCACCAGCCCCAGUGA